rnacentral:rRNA from 1 species
GAUGAACGCUGGCGGCGUGCCUAAUACAUGCAAGUCGAGCGAACAGACGAGGAGCUUGCUCCUUUGACGUUAGCGGCGGACGGGUGAGUAACACGUGGAUAACCUACCUAUAAGACUGGGAUAACUUCGGGAAACCGGAGCUAAUACCGGAUAACAUGUUGAACCGCAUGGUUCAACAGUGAAAGACGGUCUUGCUGUCACUUAUAGAUGGAUCCGCGCCGCAUUAGCUAGUUGGCAAGGUAACGGCUUACCAAGGCAACGAUGCGUAGCCGACCUGAGAGGGUGAUCGGCCACACUGGAACUGAGACACGGUCCAGACUCCUACGGGAGGCAGCAGUAGGGAAUCUUCCGCAAUGGGCGAAAGCCUGACGGAGCAACGCCGCGUGAGUGAAGAAGGGCUUCGGAUCGUAAAACUCUGUUAUUAGGGAAGAACAAAUGUGUAAGUAACUAUGCACGUCUUGACGGUACCUAAGCAGAAAGCCACGGCUAACUACGU